rnacentral:rRNA from 1 species
UUUGGUGAUGAUGGCAGAGAGGUCACACCCGUUCCCAUACCGAACACGGAAGUUAAGCUCUCUAGCGCCGAUGGUAGUUGGGACCUUAUCCCUGUGAGAGUAGGACGUCGCCAAGC